rnacentral:rRNA from 1 species
CGGAGCUUGCUUUGGUUGGAUUAGUGGCGAACGGGUGAGUAACACGUGAGUAACCUGCCCCCUUCUUCGGGAUAACCAUUGGAAACGGUGGCUAAUACCGGGUAUGACAUCGGAUCGCAUGGUUUGGUGUGGAAAGGUUUUUUCUGGUGGGGGAUGGGCUCGCGGCCUAUCAGCUUGUUGGUGGGGUGAUGGCCUACCAAGGCUUUGACGGGUAGCCGGCCUGAGAGGGCGACCGGCCACACUGGGACUGAGACACGGCCCAGACUCCUACGGGAGGCAGCAGUGGGGAAUAUUGCACAAUGGGGGAAACCCUGAUGCAGCGACGCCGCGUGGGGGAUGAAGGCCUUCGGGUUGUAAACCCCUUUCAGUAAGGAACAAGGCCAUGAUUGUUGUUGUGGUUGAGGGUACUUGCAGAAGAAGCGCCGGCUAACUACGUGCCAGCAGCCGCGGUAAUACGUAGGGCGCAAGCGUUGUCCGGAAUUAUUGGGCGUAAAGAGCUCGUAGGCGGUUUGUCGCGUCUGUCGUGAAAUCCCGAUGCUUAACGUCGGGCUUGCGGUGGGUACGGGCAGGCUGGAGUGCGGUAGGGGUGACUGGAAUUCCUGGUGUAGCGGUGGAAUGCGCAGAUAUCAGGAGGAACACCGAUGGCGAAGGCAGGUCACUGGGCCGUUACUGACGCUGAGGAGCGAAAGCAUGGGGAGCGAACAGGAUUAGAUACCCUGGUAGUCCAUGCCGUAAACGUUGGGCACUAGGUGUGGGGAUUGUUCCACGAUUCCUGUACCGUAGCUAACGCA